UACGGAGGAUCCGAGCGUUAUCCGGAUUUAUUGGGUUUAAAGGGAGCGUAGGUGGAUUGUUAAGUCAGUUGUGAAAGUUUGCGGCUCAACCGUAAAAUUGCAGUUGAAACUGGCAGUCUUGAGUACAGUAGAGGUGGGCGGAAUUCGUGGUGUAGCGGUGAAAUGCUUAGAUAUCACGAAGAACUCCGAUUGCGAAGGCAGCUCACUGGACUGCAACUGACACUGAGGCUCGAAAGUGCGGGGAUCGAACAGG
rnacentral:rRNA from 1 species